UGAAGUUGCAUGGAGUACCUG
rnacentral:siRNA from 1 species